rnacentral:sRNA from 14 species
GGAUGUGAAAGCAAUCAGGCUUUGGCAUCUGUCAGCCACUGACCACAGGGACUGACUCAGCUGAUGUUGCUGGCUAGGUAGACGUUCCUUUCUCCCUCCCCACUCCAUGCACACCCGCAUGGAGCUGUGCACUUGAUGGAAGACGGCACCCUCCCAAAUAGAGGAGAAACAAUUUGUCUCAAAUGUGAUUCACAGCGUCAUUUUUAAAACUAACAAAGCAUAAAGUAUCAUGAGCCACUUUUUUUAUGAAGAAAUUGUAGGAUAAU